GCCGCGUGUGUUGUCAGGACGAUCGGAAACGCGUGUGUGGGGAGAUGGGUGCCAGUGUCGCCUUGUCCAUUAUCCAAAACCCAGUCGCUUUUGCUGGUUCCUCACUCAGCAUGUGAGAGAGAUUGUCUUCUCACUCGGUGCCACUCGGGGGCCAUACUCCAAAAUCAACCAGGGGCUGCCUCGGCAUCCAAGACGUUUCGGGCCAGGCGAGGCUGUUUCCCUAACCUGUGCCAUGGGCAAAAGAGAACGCCGCCUUCCCAUGCAGUUCCCUUUGUAGCCCACCCCUUGCCAUUCCAGGCAUCACUGAAGGUCUUUGCUCCCACCACUCCCACCCCUUCUCCUACCAGCUAGAUCCUCAUAACUCCUACAGGAUUGCAGAAGUUCAAACACAUGCUGUUCUCUGAGUGUAACUCUGAGGGCAGCUGUAAGAAAUCAACAGAAAAGAAUAGCUGCUACUCUUUUAUUAAAGGAAAAGUUAAUGAUCACAGGCAUGAGCAAGUGGAUUCUGUCACCAAUUCCUCAUUGUAAGGCUUCCUACAGAUUUGCAAACAGAUCUCCUGCCUAGAGGCACUUGCUUGCAUCAGGAAGGCCUGAGCAGGGACAUGGGACGGACACAGGAUGGGAAUGGAUUUGGUGGUCUGCAAAUGCUACGUGGAGGGAACUCUUGCUAACUCAUCCUGUUCCAAAGAACCUAACCAUCAUGUCUUCUUCAAAGUUGAAGAGCUGUUACCUUGAUAUACCAACAACUAGACAGAGGCUAAAGUGUGGAGCAAGGAAACAGUAACAGUAACAUACCUCUUAUUUAAGACAAAAAAAAAAGCAAAGUUGGCUUUAGUGAGUAUGAGUUUCUUGAUUAUUACUGUCAUCAUGUGAAAAUGUGAGCUGACGCUGCAAAUACAAUCCUUGGAAACAACGAGGACGUGUGGAAAUCUAAGUAUGUUAUCAUUCACUGACAACCACUAAUGAAGACAGGGGAGCUUACUUCAAACCCACAAAUAAUUAGCACUGACAAUAGAAGUAUAAACAGAGCUUUAUUUAAUUAAUUCCCUAAUUGUUCUUUCCUGCUUUACUAUCUGCACCCCUGCUUUGACUUUAGAUAUAACAUAUGCCCAAGACUUCCUUCUUUCAACUUUGUGAUAAUCAUGUAUCCGUUUGCUCAGUGUGGGAAACCAUCUGAGCUAGAAUUCCUUUCCCUGCUUUAUAUGUAUAAAUGUUUUUUUAUUUUUUAUGUUACUUUCUCUGUUUUCCCACAAUUCGGAUGCCUGGAAAUGUUGACUUAUUAACAUGGAUGGCUUAUCUAGCACUCUGUUAGAUGUAUUUCACAGUUAAUAUGAAAUGAGAAGUGAACAGUUGAUGAUUCUGGAGUGAUGAGGAGAGCUCUCUGGAUUCUCCAUUCUGUUCUUUACAGCAACAAACUCUUUGUCCCUGUCUCCUCGCUCACCCACAUUCUAAUCCCAGCAAUCAGAGAGCAGAUGGACUGCUUUUUUGGGUUUUGUCAUUAUCUGUCUUUGUCAGGGAAGCAUGAUCAGUUCCUCAUUAAAGGGCCGAUAACAACUCCUUCUUUGCUCUGUCCUGAAUGAGGAAGCUGCAUUGGAACCUUUCAUGUGGUGACUUCAAGUUGUGUGAGGUAAAAAGGCAUGUUUGUGUGUGGCAGGAAAGUGACUCUCCAUAGGGGAAUGGCUAGGCUGAGGGGCCAGACUGAGGGACCUACUGAGAGGAAGGACAGUGUAGAGGGGAAUAGAUUUGGAGCAGUCAUCUGGAGCAGCAGGUAGUCCAGAGAGUCAGCCCUAGUGGCUGGAGUGGGUCAGCCCUGAUCCUCUUACAGAGACUGUAGACUCUUUCUCAAGUGGCUUUGCUGGUUAUGGGCAGCCUCAGCUCACAAAAGUUGAUUACAGCCAGAAGUUAAAUCAGAGGCUGCUUAGGAAUCUUGCCUGUGAAAAGGGCUAAAUGGUGUGUGAAUGUAUUUGUGCAUGUUGUGUAUGUUUGAUGACAGUCAUGCUUCCAUUAUUGACAGGAUAUGUUCUGAGAAAUGCGUUUUCAUUGUUGGUCGAACAUCGUAGAAUGUACUUAUACAAACCUAGAUGGUAUGUAUUUUUUUAUUUAUAUACAUUUUUCAUAUGGAAAACUAAAUGUCCCAGCACCAUUACGGAAUAUAAGUCAUUUUCGCUACUUGAUCUGCAAUGCCAAUAUGAAGGACCAUGUAUCAGGUUUCUAUAUAUGUUCCAUUACAGUCUUAUGGGAUUAUGGUCAUAUAUGCAGUCCACCAUUGGCCAAAAUGCCAUUAUGGAGUGUCAUUAUGACUGUAUAAGUUUAUAUGUAAGUUUGUACAGUGCAGUUGGUAUUCCUUUUGAUUACUUUUUGUAUAAUAUUUACUAAAAAUAUUUGCAGAAAGUUCCCGAGAAUCACACAAACUCUGUUUGCCCCUGUCCAUGUGAUGUGAAGCAGGUAUCAGCUGACUUCCUUUCAACCUUUAUUUGAUUGGUAUUUGCUGGAUCAUUUGGGUGAAUAACCAGCCUGGUGUUCAUGGAAAAAUAUGCAACAAGGAGUUCCUGCUUGGAGAAGUAAUGUUUUGUUUGAGGAAACAAGAUGUCUGUUAUAAACACUUAGAGAAAAUUCUCAUAUUAUGUAGAAGUAAAUGAAACAGUGUGGUAAAGACUGAGAGGAGAUGGAGAAUGAUCCCAUUGCACCAGGUUGCUCUCAUUUUCUCUCUCUUAAUGAAUGGAAAGGUUGUAUAGAUUAUUUCAGACUUAAAGAAUGUGUAGUUUUGGUCAAAGAGCAGACACAUGGGAAUAAGGAAGUCAUCCUGUGGUCACAGAGGAUGUAGGGAACAGGUUGGCCAGACUGAAACGGAAGGGCUGUGUUAGGAUGCGGUGGGAAGUAAGGAGAAUACCUACCUUAACAAGUCAGGACAGGGUGUGCCUCCAGAUACAUUUGCACUUCCCUCCUGAGAGCUUUUCUUUGUCCUGAAUGAGGAAGCAACAUUGGAACCUUUGAUGUGGUGACUUCAAGUUGUGUGAGGUAAAAGGGCAUGUUUGUGUGCGGCAGGAAAGUGACUGUCCAUAGGGGAAUGGCUCAGUAUGUAUGUUCCCUAGCCACAAGCUUCGGUUUUGUAUUCGACUGUACCUGCCUAGAUAUAGAUCCACUCUGGAAACCCAGGGAAACUUUUCAAUCUUCUUGUUAAAGCUGAGGAUUGAUUAGCAAGCAUGACCUCCCACCUGUUAUAACUGGCUUAUGGCUCUUCCGAAGUACCCACUGGCAUUUUCAAGGUGCCCUGCACCCCUUCCUGCCAUGUCCUUCUAUGGAACACUUCCUUCAACUCCUUGAGUCUGGUCCCUUCCUACCAGAACCAAAUAAUUGUCAAACUUCUUCAUUUGUUUGGAUUUUCCACUCUAAGCUCUUCUUCUGGCCUUUCCACCAGUGGUCUUACACUAGCAGUUAAUUUGCUCGGAAUUCAUUGUGGAGCUAUCUUGUGCCAAGCAAGGUGCCAAAGGUUUUACAUAUGUUCACUUUCUUAGUCUUCCUAAUAAUCCUUUAAAGUGGAUCUACUUAACAGUACCUGCUGAGCGUCAAUUACAUGACAAAGCAUUUGGGGAUAAAACAGGAAAAAAUAAAGGCAGAGGCCAUGCCCACAGAUAACUUGUACUUAGCUAAGAGACUACUUCUAGUGGGAGAGAUUAAGCCCUGAGGAGGUUAUAAGAUUUGUCCUGGAUCUGAAAUUUGAAUCUAGGUCUUUCUGACCCCAAAGUCAUUAAUUUCCCAACUGCAUCUACUUUUUUCUUUUUUUUUUUUUGCAAUUGAAAUUAAUUUAAAAUAAAUUAUUCUUAGCCAUUGUUCAUUUGAAGGCAAGCUGACAAUCAGGCCGUUUAAGCCAGAGUGAGUCUUAUGUGACAAAUUAUCACAUAAAGUAAUGAAGUCUUUUCUGGACUCUAUGCUCUGCUGUGGGUGGAGUGUUAAGCCCUUCAGAAGCUGCCUUCCAGGGUCUCCACAGGUCCAGGGGUCCAUUGCCACCAAGAGUCUUGUUGUUCAUUAUUGCGUUUACUACUAUAGCAACGGCUCCACCAGUGUCUUUAUUAAAACUUGCUCCAGGCUAGAAUUUUCCCCCGGGGUCAGUAAUGAGUUUAGAGGAAUGGAUGUGGAAAUGAGAUUUGUUCUCACCAGUGGAGUGAAUUAUGUCUUGUUGGGGCCCCCAGGCUAAUAUUUCAGAUUUGCCACAAGGUACUUCAUCAAAAAUUCUAUUUUGGUUCCAAAAGGACCAUGCAUGCCUAUUAGCAAAUUCAGAGCAUGCCUUUAAACUGUAUGUUUUUUUUUUUUUUUUUUCCUUCCCCGGCUGCAUCCACUAAAGGCUUUCAGAAUUAGCAGUUUGUGAGAACAGUCCAUUUCCACGGGCCAGUGAAUGGUGCAAAGAAGAAGUGCAGCCCUUUUAUCUAACAAGGCUGAGUCUGCCAUAACUGAGGUGAAUCAAAGGCAGAGCAGCCACGACUGUGUCAGCACAUUAGGUAUUCGUUAUCACAUCGGGCAUGCGGUACCACGCCAGACAUACUCAUGUGGCAGGAUUUGUGUUUGCUGUCUCUCAAAUUCUCUUGCCUCCGUUUGAUUGCCAGGGCUCAUUUUAAUGCCAUCCAAGCGUAUGGGUUUAAAUACUCUCCAAUUCAGCCUGGUGUGUUUGACAUCUAGUUCAACAUUCCAAAGAAACUGAUUGCAGAGAUAAGUCGAUUGGGAAAUAGGGUUGCACAUCAAAGCACUACCUUUCCAGUAACAGAGAUGCUCAGAAGGCCUAGCUUAUUGGAGAGGACCAUAAUUGCUGGUUGUCUUUACAAGUGUUCUCUGUGGUGGGAAAUGGGGAGAAAGCAUCUCUUGCAUGAUGCCCACUAUGCUCACAUCCUCUCUCCCUCCCUUCACUACUUCUGCUAUCUCCCAGAUAAAGGGUUAUAUUCCCGAGCAAUGAUGACCAACUACUUUUCGCUAGCAAAAACCAAAAGGGCAGGGUGAUCUCCACCCGAUGACAGAUAAAAGAUGGAUUGGCUUGAGAAAAGAGUGAGGGUCCCCACUUUUUCUUCCCAAUCCCCAUUACAUUCAUAGCCUUAAGAACUGCUCCCCUCCAGAAUCUUGGCUAUGAUUGUCAUAACUUACACCUUGUCUCGAUCUGGGAAAAAAUAAUAAAAUGACUCCAUUGAUGCUACUCCAAUCCUUCUGCUUGUUGUGUCAAAUUUUCUUUCAUUUUGUAAGCUGUGCAUUUGGGCAGAUGCUAUCCUCCACUGGAGGUACCAUUCCCGUGCAGGAGUAAGGUUUCUGUUGGACAGGAGUCCUCUUGGCAGAACACAUUUAAUGGAGUGCCUUUUAGUGAGGGUCUCCAGCCUUGGUCUAAUUGCUCUAUAAUGAAACAAGCAGGAAUGACACUGUCCUUCUCACUUACAUGUCUUAGUUUACUUUUGGAAAUUAUUGUGUGCAUUGAACAGUGUUUCUCCUUAAACAAACAAACUCACUCACUGUUUCUAUGACCAGUGUAGAGUUCCAGAUACUGUUGAACAGGCAUUACUAUAUUAAGUCCUGUGCACAUCAUCAGCACUGUAAAUUGGCCCUCACCUCCCAUGAAGCUGGCAGCCUCUGGAUCUUUGGGUUGUCUGUUUUUACUGGCUGUUAAUUGUUAAUAGAUUUUCAGGUGUAGGUCAUGCUGUGUAGGCAUCAAUCCUUAAUUUAGGAAGGUCUGCGGCUGUCCAUGAUUGUGAAAAGGCAAGUGAUAAACAAAAACUGGAGAAAUCUCAGCAUCCUCACUAAAAAUGUCAAGCCCAGUAAUGCUUCUGGUAGCAAAAGCAAAAUUUAUUAGUGAGAGAACAAACUUGCCUAAUAAAAAAGGAGAGUUAAAGAGGGAAAGCAGAGAAGGAAGGAAGGCCCCAGAAGAAGGUUGACGAAAGAGAAAA